UUUGAUCCUGGCUCAGAUUGAACGCUGGCGGCAUGCCUUACACAUGCAAGUCGAACGGCAGCGCGGGAGCAAUCCUGGCGGCGAGUGGCGAACGGGUGAGUAAUACAUCGGAACGUGCCCAAUCGUGGGGGAUAACGCAGCGAAAGCUGUGCUAAUACCGCAUACGAUCUACGGAUGAAAGCAGGGGAUCGCAAGACCUUGCGCGAAUGGAGCGGCCGAUGGCAGAUUAGGUAGUUGGUGAGGUAAAGGCUCACCAAGCCUUCGAUCUGUAGCUGGUCUGAGAGGACGACCAGCCACACUGGGACUGAGACACGGCCCAGACUCCUACGGGAGGCAGCAGUGGGGAAUUUUGGACAAUGGGCGCAAGCCUGAUCCAGCCAUGCCGCGUGCAGGAUGAAGGCCUUCGGGUUGUAAACUGCUUUUGUACGGAACGAAACGGCCUUUUCUAAUAAAGAGGGCUAAUGACGGUACCGUAAGAAUA
rnacentral:rRNA from 1 species